AUGCCGCCCUCCAACCGCCCCUCGCCGCGCGCCGCGACGGAGGACGACGGCGCCGACAGCCCGGCGGCCUCCGGCCUGCGCGCCACCCCGCCUCGCCCCAACAAGCGCUCCUCCCGCGCCAAGUCCAGCAGCCGCCGCCGCCGCCGCUCGCCCAACCCUAACCCUAGGCCGCGCCCGGACUACUACGGCACGGAGCCGUCCCGCAAGAGCGAGCGCAAGCGCAAGCCGCGCUCCUUCCCGGACGCCGCCCUGCUCUCGCGCGCCCUCCUCCCGCGCGCCUCCCCGUCCGGCGCCGCCGGCGCCGGCGGGGGCGGCAACGUCCAGCUCUGGACCGACGCCGACGAGCUCGCGCUGCUCUCGGGCGCGGUCGCCUUCCGGGCGAGCAGCGGCCGGGCGCCGCGCCUCCCGGACACGGACCCGCUCUUCGAGUCCAUCCGCGACUCCCUCUCACCCCACAUCGACCAGUCCAAGGUCUACCUUAGGACGCCGCCCUGGAGCCCCAUGCUCUCCAAGAGCUGCCUCUCGCCGGCGGCCUUCAGCAGUGCCUUCACGGAGUUCCGCAACUCAGGGCCGUCCCCCGGACUCCCGAUGGCGCCGCCGCGUACGAGCCCAGAAAGCUCGACUUCGAUAGUGCUCUGCUUCGUCCUCCUGCCCCGUCGACUUCCUCCUCAGCGUCACCUACCUCCCUUGCCUCGUCUCCACCUUUUCUUUGUUCAUCUUUUUUCUGUUCUUUCACCUGAAACUGAUCGAUUGUUCUCGAUUGUGUCCCAUUUCGAGCAGGUAGUCAUACUGCUGGCAACAAUCUGUUGGAAUGUCAAUGGGGAGAAAAGAGAAUAUGUACAGGCAUUUGUGGACUGCUGCUGGAUAGCGGAGCAGGGAUGGAGGCUGCACAGGUGGAGCUGCCGUAGGGGGUCCCGCAGUCGAGGACCGACAUACUACUUUUUCCUGUCUACUACUAUCCGCUGAAGUUGCAGUUGUAGAAGGAUGAAGGAAAUGAGGAUUGAGGCAGACAUUUCCGUUCUAAGGAAACUUUUAACUGCAAGUCAAUGGACGACGAUCUAAGGAUGGUGGAGGUGAAGAUUAAGAAGCUCCGAGAUCGGCUUUGUGCUAGCACUGAGUUUGGCCACUUCCACCAACGAUAAGAGGAACAAGGACAGCCGCGGCAACUCGACGCGCUGUCAUCCAGUUUGCCACCGCUGUGAGGAGAGGCGGUGACUGGCAAUGUGAUGCGUCACCAAACUUGGGUUGUCUCAGUCGGUGUGGAGAGACCUCCAGAAGAAGCACAACUGCGUGAACCCGAUUGAAAUAGUCACCAUGGCCGUCAACCAGGUACACGUAGACACUUCCCAAGUGCGGGCAUGCAAGUGCGGAUGACAUAAUUUACUGGCAUAUGUUGUUCCCGGGCAUGUUCUUGCUGGAGCACCUGUUGGACUAUGUGGAGAUAUUCCAUGGAGCGCUGGUGGAAUCGGAUAACAAGUUGAUGCUGCUGAGCAGUGCAGAUGACAGCUGGCUCCGCCUCAAGUACUGGUUUUCUAGACUCUCCCAGACCAAGCUCGACGUAAGCAAGAUUCAUGCAGAACUUGUUACUGGAGUUCACGGAGGUGGGAGCCAGCAAGAAAGAUGAAGAUCCCAAUGAGAGCUAGAAGGUGGACUAGCGCUCACGAAAACACUCAACACAAUUUCUGGACCCUUCCCCCACCCUCCGCCGGCCGCUCCGGCGGCGGGAGGAUGGGGAAUCCCCAGAUCGGCGUUCCGGCGUGUAGA